GUACUCACUUCAGCAGUAUAUAUACCAAAAUUAGAACAAUAUAGAGAAGAUUAGCAUGGCCCCUAUACAAAGGAUGAAAUUCAAAUUCAUGAGGCAUUUCAUUUUUUU